GUGAUUCGGGGUGCAGCAGGCGCGAAAACUCUACAAUGCAGGCAACUGCGAUAGGGGAACAUCGAGUGAUACUCAUCUUGGGUGUCUGUCCUCCCGUCUAAAAAACGGGAGUUAGCAAGGGCCGGGCAAGACCGGUGCCAGCCGCCGCGGUAAUACCGGCGGCUCGAGUGGUGGCCGAUAUUAUUGAGUCUAAAGGGUCCGUAGCCGGCUUUGCAAGUCUUUUGGGAAAUCCAGCGGCUUAACCGUUGGUCGUCCGGGAGAUACUACAUUGCUUGGGACUGGGAGAGGUAGGAGGUACUCAGGGGGUAGGAGUGAAAUCCUGUAAUCCUUUGGGGACCACCGGAGGCGAAGGCGUCCUACCAGAACAGGUCCGACGGUGAGGGACGAAAGCUAGGGGCACGAACCGGAUUAGAUACCCGGGUAGUCCUAGCCGUAAACGAUGCUCGCUAGGUGUCACAACAAUCGUGAAUUGUUGUGGUGCCGUAGGGAAGCCGUGAAGCGAGCCACUUGGGAAGUACGACCGCAAGGUUGAAACUUAAAGGAAUUGGCGGGGGAGCACAAUCGAAU
rnacentral:rRNA from 1 species